UACAGAGGUCUCAAGCGUUGUUCGGAUUCAUUGGGCGUAAAGGGUGCGUAGGCGGUGGGGCAAGUCAGGUGUGAAAUCCCGGAGCUCAACUCCGGAACUGCACUUGAUACUGCCUUGCUAGAGUACUGGAGAGGAGACUGGAAUUUACGGUGUAGCAGUGAAAUGCGUAGAGAUCGUAAGGAAGACCAGUGGCGAAGGCGAGUCUCUGGACAGUUACUGACGCUGAGGCGCGAAAGCGUGGGGAGCGAACAGG
rnacentral:rRNA from 1 species